rfam:Lachnoclostridium sp. YL32, complete genome.
GGAGAUGUACUCAAGUGGUUGAAGAGUUCAGUUUCGAAAACUGACAGGUCUUAAAUAGACGCCUGGGUUCGAAUUCCAGCAUCUCCG